UUAAAUUGAAGAGUUUGAUCAUGGCUCAGAUUGAACGCUGGCGGCAGGCUUAACACAUGCAAGUCGAACGGUAACAGGAAGCAGCUUGCUGUUU
rnacentral:rRNA from 1 species